rnacentral:misc_RNA from 1 species
GAUGAAGAACGCAGCGAAAUGCGAUAAGUAGUGUGAAUUGCAGAAUUCAGUGAAUCAUCGAAUCUUUGAACGCACAUUGCGCCCCUUGGUAUUCCAUGGGGCAUGCCUGUUCGAGCGUCAUUUGUACCUUCAAGCUCUGCUUGGUGUUGGGUGUUUGUCUCGCCUCUGCGUGUAGACUCGCCUCAAAACAAUUGGCAGCCGGCGUAUUGAUUUCGGAGCGCGGUACAUCUCGCGCUUUGCACUCAUAACGACGACGUCCAAAAGUACAUUUUUACACUCUUGACCUCGGAUCAGGUAGGGAUACCCGCUGAACUUAAGCAUAUCAAUAAGCGGAGGA